rnacentral:rRNA from 1 species
GACGAACGCUGGCGGCGUGCCUAAUACAUGCAAGUUGAGCGCUGAAGGUUGGUACUUGUACCAACUGGAUGAGCAGCGAACGGGUGAGUAAUGCGUGGGGAAUCUGCCUUUGAGCGGGGGACAACAUUUGGAAACGAAUGCUAAUACCGCAUAAAAACUUUAAACACAAGUUUUAAGUUUGAAAGAUGCAAUUGCAUCACUCAAAGAUGAUCCCGCGUUGUAUUAGCUAGUUGGUGAGGUAAAGGCUCACCAAGGCGAUGAUACAUAGCCGACCUGAGAGGGUGAUCGGCCACAUUGGGACUGAGACACGGCCCAAACUCCUACGGGAGGCAGCAGUAGGGAAUCUUCGGCAAUGGACGAAAGUCUGACCGAGCAACGCCGCGUGAGUGAAGAAGGUUUUCGGAUCGUAAAACUCUGUUGGUAGAGAAGAACGUUGGUGAGAGUGGAAAGCUCAUCAAGUGACGGUAACUACCCAGAAAGGGACGGCUAACUACGUG